rnacentral:rRNA from 1 species
UUGACGGGACCGCACAAGCGGUGGAUGAUGUGGAUUAAUUCGAUGCAACGCGAAAACCUUACCUACCCUUGACAUGUCCGGAAUCCCGAAGAGAUUUGGGAGUGCUCGCAAGAGAACCGGAACACAGGUGCUGCAUGGUUGUCGUCAGCUCGUGUCGUGAGAUGUUGGGUUAAGUCCCGCAACGAGCGCAACCCUUGUCAUUAGUUGCCAUCAUUUGGUUGGGCACUCUAAUGAGACUGCCGGUGACAAACCGGAGGAAGGUGGGGAUGACGUCAAGUCCUCAUGGCCCUUAUGGGUAGGGCUUCACACGUCAUACAAUGGUCGGUACAGAGGGUUGCCAACCCGCGAGGGGGAGCUAAUCCCACAAAGCCGAUCGUAGUCCGGAUCGCAGUCUGCAACUCGACUGCGUGAAGUCGGAAUCGCUAGUAAUCGUGGAUCAGCAUGUCACGGUGAAUACGUUCCCGGGUCUU